GGCCUCGUAGCUCAGUUGGCUAGAGAUUUGGCUGUGCUAAAGCCUUCCCCUUGCUGGCGUGGGUUCGAAUUCCAUCGAGGCCG
rnacentral:tRNA from 1 species